ACGAGUCUGUGCUGUGUGUGAAGCCGGACGUCAGCGUCUACCGGAUUCCGCCCCGGGCCUCCAACCGCGGUUACAGGGCAUCUGACUGGAAAUUAGACCAGCCUGAUUGGACUGGUCGCCUCCGAAUCACUUCAAAAGGGAAGACUGCCUAUAUCAAACUCGAGGAUAAAGUUUCAGGUAAUCUUUGCAGGUGACCCUCUAACAUUAAGAAUAUUAAUUUGGUGUGCUUUUAUAAGUACCUUCAAUUUGGGGACUGGAAUGGAAAUACUAGUUGUUAAUUGGAAUUCUGGAUUUUGGCUUCCUUUACUCAAAAAAGUCUUUCUCUUAUCUGUCAGGGGAGCUCUUUGCUCAGGCACCAGUAGAACAAUAUCCUGGUAUUGCUGUGGAGACAGUGACAGAUUCCAGCCGCUACUUUGUAAUCCGGAUCCAGGAUGGUACUGGGCGCAGUGCUUUCAUUGGCAUUGGCUUCACAGAUCGGGGAGAUGCCUUCGACUUUAAUGUCUCCUUGCAGGAUCACUUCAAGUGAGUGAAGCUUGUCCUUAGUUACGAGGUCGAAUGCUUGUAGGAAUGCUGCUUCUCACGUGAAUGGGCAGUAUCUCUUUUCCUCCUGGUUUCUUUAUUUCUUCAACUAUUUCAUUGUGAAUAUAAAUCUCCUCAUUCACUUUUGUUUCCUUGGGUCAUCUUUGUAUCUAUUCUGUUUCCUUUCCUUAUAGCCUGCAAUAUGUUUUAGAUCCCUUGUGCAGUAGUUUGAAAUGAUGCUCUGUCGAAUGUUGCCCCGUCUUUUAGGUGGUAGAGGGAGGCCUAUGGUAACAGCAGGGCUUUAUGUGGGGAGUUGUGUGCCACUCUUGUUACCUUAUGUAGCUGACAUGUUUUGUGACUUUUGCAACAUUUCUUUAGUCCACUUGAUUUUGGUGCAGCUGUGGUGACAGCACUAUGCACACUGUGAGCUUCCUACCUCAAGAGCAAGCAUAUCUCUCCUUUCCUGCCUCAGGACUCUCUGAAGUUAUAGAAGGCUAAGAGCAAGCUUUAACUUGGAGAGACUAAGAAACUAACACCCCCUCAGGAGCAGCCCUCAACUGUGGGGAAUGGGAAUUGGUGGCUAAAUGCCAUCCUUUUGGAAGAGGCAAUUCUAAUACGUAUUCCUUGAGAUUUCUCAGAGAGUCCCCAGUGGAAUUGAACCCCAGUAGUUUUCUUUCUUGGCUUUUUUCCCUUUUGUUUCUCACUCUUUUUUAUCUCUCACUGUGUUUUCUGGAAUCUCAUUUCAUAAAAGUAAAUACACCCAAAUUUGUAUGUCAGACUCUGCUUUCAGGAAAUCUCAAACUAAGAUAACUUGCUGUGUUCCCAAAGGUGGGUAAAGCAGGAAUCUGAGAUUUCCAAGGAAUCUCAAGAAAUGGAUGCUCGUCCUAAGUUGGAUCUGGGCUUCAAGGAAGGACAAACCAUCAAGUUGAGUAUCGGGAACAUUACAAACAAGAAAGGAGGUGCUUCCAAGCCCAGGACUGCAAGGGGUGGGGGCCUGAGCUUACUCCCACCCCCGCCAGGAGGCAAAGUCACUAUUCCCCCACCAUCCUCCUCAGUUGCCAUCAGCAAUCAUGUCACCCCACCACCCAUUCCGAAAUCUAACCAUGGAGGCAGUGAUGCAGAUAUCCUUUUAGAUUUGGAUUCUCCUGCUCCUGUCACGACACCAGCACCAACUCCAGUUUCUGCAAGCAAUGACUUGUGGGGAGACUUCAGCACUGCAUCCAGCUCUGUUCCAAACCAGGCACCACAGCCAUCCAACUGGGUCCAGUUCUGAAUGGCAUUGGCAGGACAUUAAGGACAGACUUGAGGAAUAAAAAUGACCUUGAGGGCACCAAUCUGUGAGGGAAGUUAGGAACCCAUUUCCUCCCCAGAAUCAAAAUGACUGGACAAUCUUUUUCGUAGCUUCUCCAUCACAUUCAAGCUGGUUUAUGUCACUCCCCUGUGUUGUUACUUGUACAGCCAAGAAAGUAUCUGUUAAUCUCCUGCUUAGUACCAAGGUAGGGGACUAGUGAAUCUUAUCAUAGUUUUGGCUGACUAUGCAGGGCUCAAAAGGCCAGCGUCUGUUUGAGGGGGAAUGACCUCUGACAUCUGUAAAAUUUGUCUCAUCUUUUAAAUUCUUUAACUUAUUUCAAAAUCAUCUCAUGACCCUCGUGUGCCUCUUUGUGAAGCCCUAUUUAGCAAUUUCAGGGGAGUCAAAAACCUUGCAACUUCCUUCUCCACUAACCCAGGACUAAAAAUGGACAGGCUGACCUUAGUGUUUACAAAUUCAGAAUUUUGAUAGGGGUAGAUAUGGAGAAAGACCUAUUUCCUGGGUCUCUGCUGUGUAGUCUCCUUCAGGCUUAUUGUACACAGUGAACAUCCAGUGCUGGGUGCAGCUCCAUCACCCUCUUGUGUGUUUACAUGUCUCUUUCUAUGAUAAGAGGGUUGUGUUGGUGGCACCUCCACUACUCUUUUCUGUUUGUUGAAUUUGAAUUGUGUAACAUCUUUGACCAGUGGGUGUUUCUGUAAUGAAGGAGGUUCAAGAGGCUGUGCUUUCCAAGUGAUAGUCUAUAGGAAUGUUUGAUUUCUUGCAGCUCCAUCUGGUUGCUGCAUUUGAAGCAUGGCAUUAAUUUGUAUUUGCCCUGUUGUUUGACCUUAAGUUGAAGGGUUUAGAGUUUUUAACCUGAUCUGUAGAGCAGAGAGGUUGAAAGCACUUAACUCUUGUUUAGUAUCCUCAUUGCCUUGCUGCCUGGGUAUCUGGCCCCUUUUCAUAAACAUUUCUUUUCAGUUCAUGUAGUUCUUUAAUAGAAAGCUGCUAUUAUGUAUAUUGUCAUUUGUGAAGGAAGUUGGAGAGUCACAGAUUUACUGUGACAGGUUUUGCCCAAGUCUGUGAUACCUGUCACCCAGGGUAUCUUAAAAGCAAGUUGUUCUCCCACUACUUUCCUUUCCCUCUGCCCUGCCAUUCCUUUUACAAUGCUGUGAAAAAAGUUCUGCUUCUUAGGUGAAUGGGUACUUUCUAUUUUGUUUCUAAAUGAGCAAUUUUGAGGAUGAAAUGGGAAGAUAUCAUUUCUUCCUUUUUGCACCUAUUAGGUAUGUACACUCUCUGGCUGAAGGGAGU
rnacentral:sRNA from 1 species